rnacentral:rRNA from 1 species
CAAUAGCGUAUAUUAAAGUUGUUGCGGUUAAAAAGCUCGUAGUUGGAUUUCUGCUGAGAACGACCGGUCCGCCCUCUGGGUGUGUAUCUGGCUCUUUCUUGGCAUCUUCUUGGUGAACGUUGCUGCACUUGACUGUGUGGAGCGCUACCCAGGACUUUUACUUUGAGGAAAUUAGAGUGUUUCAAGCAGGCAUACGCCUUGAAUACAUUAGCAUGGAAUAAUAAGAUAGGACCUCGGUUCUAUUUUGUUGGUUUCUAGAGCUGAGGUAAUGAUUAAUAGGGAUAGUUGGGGGCAUUCGUAUUUAACUGUCAGAGGUGAAAUUCUUGGAUUUACGGAAGACGAACUACUGCGAAAGCAUUUACCAAGGAUGUUUUCAUUAA